ensembl:lncRNA
GAGAGAGAGAGAGAGAGAUACAGAUGUGGUGAUAUAUUUGUUCUCUAAGUGAUAUCGUUCUAAACAUUUUUGCCAAACUGUAAGUUAUAGAACACAGAGUGGACAUAAAGUGUAAUACAUAGGGUCACGGGGCCAUUUCAAAUCAAUUUUAUUGCUCUCGACUUUUUUUGAUGACGGUCCAGUGACAUAAAACAGAAUUUACUUAAAUGGGAUUAUAAAAGUAAAAUAUCAAAUAUACAAACUGAUGUAUGAAGUCUUUGUGGUAUAAAGUGCAGAUAUGUGCAGUACACUGCUGUGCAACAUGGAGCUGAGGAAGUUGCUGUGAAAAAGACAAUCUAAUAUAAAUAUUUAUAAAUACAGGAUGUCGUGUGUUUACAGGAAUGCUCUGUGUGGGAAGAAGCUCCUCCUCAUACUCUCUGUAUUGGUCUUCAGAGUCCAUUGUUCAGAUGGAUGAGGUCCUUCACUAUAUUCCUGGCCUUGGUCCAGCUCCACUUGCUGUAGAUAGACUGCAGGUCAGGGAGCUCAGUGUGGAUUGUACGCUCAGCUGAUCACACCACCCUCUGGAGAGCCGUCUAUCCUGCUUGGUGUUUCUCCUGAACCAGGCUGUGAUGCGUCCCAUCAGGAUGCUCUCAAUGGUGCAAAAGUUCCUUAGCACCUUAGACACCUGAUUAAAGUCCCUUAAGCAUUUAAGGUAGUAUAGAUGCUGCCAGGCCUUCUUCACCAGAGUGUUCAUGGGACAGGACCAGGACCGGUCCUGCAUGAUCUGAACACCAAGGGACCGGAUACUGUCCACUCUCUCCACUGGGGUCCCGUUGAUCAUAAGGGCUGGUAGCUCCUCUCCUGCUUCAUGAGUCCUCCAUCAACUCCUCGGUCUUUCUGAUGUUCAGGAGGAGGUUGUUCUAGUGGAAUCAGUUCUCCAGGGUUUUAAUCUUCACCAGGUUGGCCUUCUCAUCGUUAUCAGAUACCAAGCCCACAACAACAGUGUCGUCAGUAAACCUGACCAUGGUGGUAGAGCUGGAAGUGUCCACACCGGCAGAGGUGGAAGUGUCCACACCGUCAGAGCUGGAAGUGUCCACACAGUCAGAGCUGGAAGUGUCCACACAGUCAGAGCUGGAAGUGUCCACACAGUCAGAGCUGGAAGUGUCCACACCGUCAGAGGUGGAAGUGUACAGUGAGUACCGCAGGAGGCUCGGGACACGACCUGGGGGCUUCAUUGCUGAGGGUGAGACAUGUCUGACCACCUGUCUGUUAGGAAGGUGAAGAUCCACUGACACAGGGACGGGUUAAGUCGCAGGUCCUCCUACUUGGUGGCGAGUUUGGACGGAAUUAUAGAGUUAAAUACUGAACUGUAGUCAACAAACAGCAUUUGAACAUAAUUUCCCUUCCUGGUGUCCAGAUGGUUCAGGGCUGUGUGUAGGAGGUGUGUGAUGGCGUCCUCGGUAAAGCGAUUGGGACGGUACACGAACUGUAAUGGGUCCAGAGUGUCAGGUAAUGAAGAGGUGAUGAAGUCUCUGACCAGCCUUUCAAAGCACUUCAUCAGGAAUGAGGUCAGGGCGACUGGGUGAGAGUCGCUGAGGCAGGCUGGGGUUUCUGUGGGACAGGAAUGAUGAUGGACUGUUAGAAGCGUGUGGGGAGUACUGACUGUACCAGGGAGAGGUUCUAUACCUCUGUGAACACUGCAGCUAGCUGGUCAGCGCAAGCUCUACAAACCUCGACUUGAGAUGCCGUCUGGUCCUGCUGCCUUCUUGGUGUUCAC